UUAAGCGACCAAGCGUACACGGUGGAUGCCCUGGCAGUCAGAGGCGAUGAAGGACGUGCUAAUCUGCGAUAAGCGCCGGUAAGGUGAUAUGAACCGUUAUAACCGGCGAUUUCCGAAUGGGGAAACCCAGUGUGAUUCGUCACACUAUCAUUACGUGAAUACAUAGCGUAAUGAAGCGAACCGGGGGAACUGAAACAUCUAAGUACCCCGAGGAAAAGAAAUCAACCGAGAUUCCCCCAGUAGCGGCGAGCGAACGGGGAGGAGCCCAGAGUCUGAAUCAGCAUAUGUGUUAGUGGAAGCGUCUGGAAAGGCGCGCGAUACAGGGUGACAGCCCCGUACACAAAAGCGCAUAUGCUGUGAGCUCGAUGAGUAGGGCGGGACACGUGGUAUCCUGUCUGAAUAUGGGGGGACCAUCCUCCAAGGCUAAAUACUCCUGACUGACCGAUAGUGAACCAGUACCGUGAGGGAAAGGCGAAAAGAACCCCGGCGAGGGGAGUGAAACAGAACCUGAAACCGUGUACGUACAAGCAGUGGGAGCCCCACCACUAAGCCAGUGGUGAACUCCACAUACGCAUCCUUUGCUGAGGAUACGGUUAACGGCGCGAAAGCGACGUUCAACCGCAAAAGCAGCAGAGGGGGCUUAGUGGUGGGGUGACUGCGUACCUUUUGUAUAAUGGGUCAGCGACUUAUAUUCUGUAGCAAGGUUAACCGUAUAGGGGAGCCGAAGGGAAACCGAGUCUUAACCGGGCGUUAAGUUGCAGGGUAUAGACCCGAAACCCGGUGAUCUAGCCAUGGGCAGGUUGAAGGUUGGGUAACACUAACUGGAGGACCGAACCGACUAAUGUUGAAAAAUUAGCGGAUGACCUGUGGCUGGGGGUGAAAGGCCAAUCAAACCGGGAGAUAGCUGGUUCUCCCCGAAAGCUAUUUAGGUAGCGCCUCGUGAAUUCAUCUCCGGGGGUAGAGCACUGUUUCGGCCAGGGGGCCAUCCCGGCUUACCAAUCCGAUGCAAACUGCGAAUACCGGAGAAUGUUAUCACGGGAGACACACGGCGGGUGCUAACGUCCGUCGUGAAGAGGGAAACAACCCAGACCGCCAGCUAAGGUCCCAAAGUCAUGGUUAAGUGGGAAACGAUGUGGGAAGGCCCAGACAGCCAGGAUGUUGGCUUAGAAGCAGCCAUCAUUUAAAGAAAGCGUAAUAGCUCACUGGUCGAGUCGGCCUGCGCGGAAGAUGUAACGGGGCUAAACCAUGCACCGAAGCUGCGGCAGCGAACGUAUCACUUAAAACGAUUCAGAAGCUUACGACUGACGGAGCGAAGCGACGUCAAAGCGUAUACAAAGUCGAGUCGGUUUAAGGAUACGUUCGUUGGGUAGGGGAGCGUUCUGUAAGCCGUAGAAGGUGUCCUGUGAGGGGUGCUGGAGGUAUCAGAAGUGCGAAUGCUGACAUAAGUAACGAUAAAGCGGGUGAAAAGCCCGCUCGCCGGAAGACCAAGGGUUCCUGUCCAACGUUAAUCGGGGCAGGGUGAGUCGACCCCUAAGGCGAGGCCGAAAGGCGUAGUCGAUGGGAAACGGGUUAAUAUUCCCGUACUUGGUGUUACUGCGAAGGGGGGACGGAGAAGGCUAUGUUGGCCGGGCGACGGUUGUCCCGGUUUAAGCGUGCAGGUGUGUGUUCCAGGUAAAUCCGGUUCACUUUAACACUGAGGCGUGACGACGAGGCACUACGGUGCUGAAGCAACAAAUGCCCUGCUUCCAGGAAAAGCCUCUAAGCAUCAGGUAACAUCAAAUCGUACCCCAAACCGACACAGGUGGUCAGGUAGAGAAUACCAAGGCGCUUGAGAGAACUCGGGUGAAGGAACUAGGCAAAAUGGUGCCGUAACUUCGGGAGAAGGCACGCUGACAUGUAGGUGAAGCGGUUUACCCGUGGAGCUGAAGUCAGUCGAAGAUACCAGCUGGCUGCAACUGUUUAUUAAAAACACAGCACUGUGCAAACACGAAAGUGGACGUAUACGGUGUGACGCCUGCCCGGUGCCGGAAGGUUAAUUGAUGGGGUCAGCGCAAGCGAAGCUCCUGAUCGAAGCCCCGGUAAACGGCGGCCGUAACUAUAACGGUCCUAAGGUAGCGAAAUUCCUUGUCGGGUAAGUUCCGACCUGCACGAAUGGCGUAAUGAUGGCCAGGCUGUCUCCACCCGAGACUCAGUGAAAUUGAACUCGCUGUGAAGAUGCAGUGUACCCGCGGCAAGACGGAAAGACCCCGUGAACCUUUACUAUAGCUUGACACUGAACAUUGAGCCUUGAUGUGUAGGAUAGGUGGGAGGCUUUGAAGCGUGGACGCCAGUCUGCGUGGAGCCGACCUUGAAAUACCACCCUUUAAUGUUUGAUGUUCUAACGUGGACCCGUUACCCGGGUUGCGGACAGUGUCUGGUGGGUAGUUUGACUGGGGCGGUCUCCUCCUAAAGAGUAACGGAGGAGCACGAAGGUUGGCUAAUCCUGGUCGGACAUCAGGAGGUUAGUGCAAUGGCAUAAGCCAGCUUGACUGCGAGCGUGACGGCGCGAGCAGGUGCGAAAGCAGGUCAUAGUGAUCCGGUGGUUCUGAAUGGAAGGGCCAUCGCUCAACGGAUAAAAGGUACUCCGGGGAUAACAGGCUGAUACCGCCCAAGAGUUCAUAUCGACGGCGGUGUUUGGCACCUCGAUGUCGGCUCAUCACAUCCUGGGGCUGAAGUAGGUCCCAAGGGUAUGGCUGUUCGCCAUUUAAAGUGGUACGCGAGCUGGGUUUAGAACGUCGUGAGACAGUUCGGUCCCUAUCUGCCGUGGGCGCUGGAAGACUGAGGGGGGCUGCUCCUAGUACGAGAGGACCGGAGUGGACGCAUCACUGGUGUUCGGGUUGUCAUGCCAAUGGCACUGCCCGGUAGCUAAAUGCGGAAGAGAUAAGUGCUGAAAGCAUCUAAGCACGAAACUUGCCCCGAGAUGAGUCUUCCCUGAGACUAUAAGUCUCCUGAAGGAACGUUAAAGACGAUGACGUUGAUAGGCCGGGUGUGUAAGCGCAGCGAUGCGUUGAGCUAACCGGUACUAAUGAACCGUGAGGCUUAACCUU
rnacentral:rRNA from 1 species